rnacentral:rRNA from 2 species
UCGAGCGGAUGAGUGGAGCUUGCUCCAUGAUUCAGCGGCGGACGGGUGAGUAAUGCCUAGGAAUCUGCCUGGUAGUGGGGGAUAACGUUUCGAAAGGAACGCUAAUACCGCAUACGUCCUACGGGAGAAAGUGGGGGAUCUUCGGACCUCACGCUAUCAGAUGAGCCUAGGUCGGAUUAGCUAGUUGGUGGGGUAAUGGCCCACCAAGGCGACGAUCCGUAACUGGUCUGAGAGGAUGAUCAGUCACACUGGAACUGAGACACGGUCCAGACUCCUACGGGAGGCAGCAGUGGGGAAUAUUGGACAAUGGGCGAAAGCCUGAUCCAGCCAUGCCGCGUGUGUGAAGAAGGUCUUCGGAUUGUAAAGCACUUUAAGUUGGGAGGAAGGGCAGUAAGUUAAUACCUUGCUGUUUUGACGUUACCAACAGAAUAAGCACCGGCUAACUUCGUGCCAGCAGCCGCGGUAAUACGAAGGGUGCAAGCGUUAAUCGGAAUUACUGGGCGUAAAGCGCGCGUAGGUGGUUCAGCAAGUUGGAUGUGAAAGCCCCGGGCUCAACCUGGGAAUUGCAUCCAAAACUACUGAGCUAGAGUACGGUAGAGGGUGGUGGAAUUUCCUGUGUAGCGGUGAAAUGCGUAGAUAUAGGAAGGAACACCAGUGGCGAAGGCGACCACCUGGACUGAUACUGACACUGAGGUGCGAAAGCGUGGGGAGCAAACAGGAUUAGAUACCCUGGUAGUCCACGCCGUAAACGAUGUCGACUAGCCGUUGGGAUCCUUGAGAUCUUAGUGGCGCAGCUAACGCGAUAAGUCGACCGCCUGGGGAGUACGGCCGCAAGGUUAAAACUCAAAUGAUUUGACGGGGGCCCGCACAAGCGGUGGA